UUCGGCUUCCGGCGGAAGAGCCAGGGAGCAAGAUGGCUGCCGUCAAGACUGUACUGCCGGCUGUUGAGACAGCGUGGGCUUCUCUGGUGGCUCUGCCCUCUCAGCCUGUGAGCAGCGCCCGUGACCAAAUGGCUUUGCUGGUCCUAGCGCUGCCCAGACCCUUUUCCCCUGUGACCCUGGUCUCGGAGAGUUGUGACAGUAUUGAAGAGAUUGUGAAGCUGGAGGCAAUGAAGCUAUUGAAAGGACACAGUGUGGUCGGGUGAUGGUUGAAGACGUUUUCCGGGCAGACCCUUGAAGAGAAUAAAGAGGAAGGAGGGUCGGAGCCUUCCCAAGCAGAACCCCAGGAGGUGAGGCCAAGGCGUGUGCUCCCGCAGGAGGGGCUGCACUUCCCACCCGGGGCGCUCCUCACGUGCCCGGCGGCUGGUGACCGGAGUGGAGAAGCGGGGCUUUCGUGCCCGUGUGGGGCUCUAGGCCUGCUCUCCAUGGCCAGCUCCGGCCCAGACACCAAUGGCUCCCAGUUCUUCCUGACGUGUGACAAGACAGAUUGGCUGGAUGGCAAGCACGUGGUGUUUGGGGAGGUCACAGAAGGCCUGGAAGUCUUGGGGCAGAUUGAGGCCCAGGGCAGCAAGGAUGGGAAGCCAAAGCAGAAGGUGAUCAUCGCCAACUGUGGGGAGUACGUGUGAGUCGGCGCAGUCUCGGCUCUGCCCCUGCGCAUCCGGGAGCCGUCAGCCUGGGAGCCAGCACCUGCGCGUGUCCGUCCCCUCUGCGGCGAGCAGGGGCUUGUGCUGUGGCCCUUCUCGGGGUCAGCUCGCAGCAGCUCUUCUCAGGUACGGCCUGGGCUCCCUCUGGCUCUUUG